CUUGCUCUUUCUUUUUUUUAAAAAAUAGAAAUUGAUCUUAAAGAAGCACAAAGAUUUUUUGCUCAGAAAUUCUCCUGUGGUGCCUCAGUAACAGGGGAGGAUGAAAUUAUCAUUCAGGGAGAUUUUACAGAUGACAUAAUUGAUGUCAUUCAGGAAAAAUGGCCAGAGGUAGAUGAUGACAGCAUCGAAGAUCUUGGAGAAGUGAAGAAGUGAAUUUGAAAAUUUGUAUUUAAUGGCCUGAACUGAGAGUUGAUACGGCCAAAGGGAGAGAGGCCUUUAAAAAUAUAUAUAGAUAUAUAUAUAUUUAUUCUACAGUGAAACUGUAGACUGCCCUCGUCCUUGGCAUUUUCACUGUUCUGUACAAGGCUGCUUGUUUUUUUAUUGCCAAAGUCAAAUAAACAGGGGAGACUGUCAUUGCUCAUACAUGAAUAGAUUUAGUCAAAUAAAAAAUUCUGGUCAUUUGGUACUGA